GUGGGGGGUUAGAUUGGUGCUUUAGGCCCAUCACUCUGGGGAAAUGGACUAGAGAUGGGGCCAGACCAGCUGGGCGGUUACUGUUAGAGUUAAGGUACAAGAUGAAGGCACCUUGGACUGGGGAAGUGGUAGUGGGGUGCAGAGGAAGGGA